UACAGAGGUCUCAAGCGUUGUUCGGAUUCAUUGGGCGUAAAGGGUGCGUAGGCGGCGCGGUAAGUCGGGUGUGAAAUCUCGGGGCUUAACUCCGAAACUGCAUUCGAUACUGCGGUGCUUGAGGACUGGAGAGGAGACUGGAAUUCAUGGUGUAGCAGUGAAAUGCGUAGAUAUCGGAAGGAACACCGGUGGCGAAAGCGGCGCGCUGGAUCUCUUCUGACGCUGAGGCGCGAAAGCCAGGGGAGCGAACGGG
rnacentral:rRNA from 1 species